rnacentral:rRNA from 1 species
AAGCCUGAUCCAGCCAUGCCGCGUGUGUGAAGAAGGUCUUCGGAUUGUAAAGCACUUUAAGUUGGGAGGAAGGGCUGCAAGUUAAUACCUUGUAGUUUUGACGUUACCAACAGAAUAAGCACCGGCUAACUCCGUGCCAGCAGCCGCGGUAAUACGGAGGGUGCAAGCGUUACUCGGAAUCACUGGGCGUAAAGAGCACGUAGGCGGCCUUGCAAGUCAGAUGUGAAAUCCAACGGCUUAACCGUUGAACUGCAUUUGAAACUGCAAGGCUAGAGUAUGGGAGAGGUAGGUGGAAUUCUCGGUGUAGGGGUAAAAUCCGUAGAGAUCGAGAGGAAUACUCAUUGCGAAGGCGACCUGCUGGAACAUUACUGACGCUGAGGUGCGAAAGCGUGGGGAGCAAACA